UGGGGAAUAUUGCACAAUGGGCGCAAGCCUGAUGCAGCCAUGCCGCGUGUAUGAAGAAGGCCUUCGGGUUGUAAAGUACUUUCAGCGGGGAGGAAGGGAGUAAAGUUAAUACCUUUGCUCAUUGACGUUACCCGCAGAAGAAGCACCGGCUAACUCCGUGCCAGCAGCCGCGGUAAUACGGAGGGUGCAAGCGUUAAUCGGAAUUACUGGGCGUAAAGCGCACGCAGUCGGGUUGUUAAGUCAGAUGUUAAAUCCCCGGGGUCAACCUGGGAACUGGAUAUGGAAGUGGCAAGGGUGAGUCGUGGAGAGGGGGGUAGAAAUCCAGGUGGAGCGGUGAAAGGCGGAGAGAUCUGGAGGAAUACCGGAGGCGAAGGCGGCCCCCUGGACGAAGACUGACGCUCAGGUGCGAAAGCGUGGGGAGCAAACAG
rnacentral:rRNA from 1 species